AUCAGGAUGGCUGAAUGGUCUAAGGUGCUGUGUUUAGCUCACAGUCUCCCGUGGAGGCAUAGGUUCAUAUCCCACUCCUGAUA
rfam:TPA: Bos taurus chromosome 5, whole genome shotgun sequence.